CCUAAUCUAAUCUCAGCUUAUAAUCAACGAAUAAAACGUUUUUCUCGUCCUGUUGUGAAACUUGGACAUAAUGAAAGUUGCAUUUGCCUUGUUCUUCGUCGUGUUUCUGUUACAACACACAGCAAAAGCAGAAAAAGAUGCAGAUGUGAUUGUAGUGAAAAAUGAAACCUGCAGACCAGGCGACCGGUGGAAAGAAGACUGCAAUAGGUGUUUAUGUACCUCAAAUGGAAAAAAGGCUUGCACCAGAAUGUUCUGCCCGCGCAAUUUGACAACUGAAACGGAUUUCUAACAGGCAUACAACCCCAUCUCGGUAUAUAUCUACUUUAAAUUAAAUCUUAUUUAAAACAUUAACAUUGCUUAUUUAUGUAUGAAAUAUAAUCUUUGAAAAAUA